rnacentral:lncRNA from 1 species
UUUUUUUUGCGAGCAUUGAAAGCGUAUCGUUAGAUAAUCUGUACGGCGUAUUUUCCUUCUCCAUAGUUUUCUUCAUAAAAAUGUUAUUUGUGUGGUAACCUAGCCUAUAAUUUCUACUUGGAAAUUCCAGCUGAUUAAGUGGCCUGAGCAGAGCCUGAGCAUCUCUACUUUUUGCCAAGAUGUCGUCUACUUUUCCUGUACCGGCUGUACGUUUUGUAAGAAACACUUCAGAACAAAUCAGUGAUAAACAGUCUGGGAAAGUCUGAGCUUCGUCGUUGCUGCCCAAUGUACACAUGGAUUUGAUGCAGCCAGCUGGUAAAGGGUGUUCCACUUGCUACCUGUACUGUUGUGUGUUUCGUCAAAUGAAGAAACAACUGAAGUUUCGCGUUCAUGUUCGUGUAAUUGCUGUCCGAUGUGGCACGUUGUUGCAGCCUAUGCUGGUGAAAGAUCUUUCUACAUCAAAUUCAAUUAGCCGUUCCUUGGUGCUGAUUUUGUGUUACCGAAGUUGCAUCAUAUUU